rnacentral:lncRNA from 1 species
CAGCAGCUCAGGAAAUAGUCUAAAACAUCCAGAUACUAGAGAAUCACUUAAUUCUUCCAUGUCCAAUGGAACAAGUGAUGCUGACCUUUUUGAUUCAUAUGACAGUAGAGAUGAUGAUGUGUAGGCGGGGUCCGCAGGGAGCACAAGAGCGUUAUCAUGCAUCUCUUGUCACAGGUUAGGCUUGGGAUGGAUCUUACUAAGGUAGUUCUUCCAAGGUUUAUUCUUGAAAGAACAUCUCUUUUAGAAAUGUAGGCAGACUUUUUGCACACUGGGACCUGUUUGUGUCCAUUAGUGACUAGAAGGAUCACAAGGAUAGAAUGGUUCUGGUUGUGAAAUCAUACCUCUCAGCCUUUCAUGCAAGAAGGAAAGGGUCAGUUGCCAAAAAGCCAUACAGUCCCAUUUUGGGCAAGAUUUUUCAGUGUCACUGGACACUACCAAAUGAUACUGAAGAGAACACAAAACUAGUUUCAGAAAGACCAGUUCCCUGGGUUUCCAAAAAUACUGUAACAUUCGUGGCUGACCAGAUUUCCCAUCAUCCACCCAUUUCAGCCUUUUAUGUUGAGUAUUUUAACAAGAAGAUACAAUUCACUGCUCAUGUCUGGGCCAAAUCAAAAUUCCUUGGGAUGUCAAUUGGUGUUCACAACAUAGGGCAGGGCUGUGUCUCAUGUCUAGACUAUGAUGAACAUUACAUUCUCACAUUCCUCAAUGGCUAUGGAAGGUCUAUCCUCACAUGGUCCUGGGUGAAAUUAGGUGGAGAAUGUUGUAUUAAUUGUUCCAAACAGGCUAGAGUGCAAAUAUCAUCUUCCAUACUAAACCCUUCUAUGUGGGCAAGAAGCACAAAAUUACUGCUGAGAUUUUUUUCUCCAAGUGACAAGAAGUCUUUUUGCUCAACUGAAGGGGAAUGGAAUGGUUUGAUGUAUGCAAAAUAUGCAACAUGGGAAAAUACAUCCUUUGCAGAUACCAAGAAGUUGCCUGUAAUCAAGAAGAAAGUGAUGAAGCUAGAAGAUCAGAACAAGUAAGAAUCCCGCAGCCUUUGGAAGGAUGUCACUUUCAACUUAAAAAUCAGCAACUGAAGCAAAGCACAGGCUUGAAUAAAAGAGCAGAACCCCAAGAAAGGAAAGAGGGAAAGAGAAAGAAAUUCAGUGGGAGACAAGGUUAUUUCAUAAAGAUGGAGAAUAUUGGGUUUAUGAUGAACCAUUACUGAAAUAUCUUGGUGCUGCCAAGCAUU